rnacentral:rRNA from 1 species
UACGUAGGGGGCUAGCGUUGUCCGGAAUCAUUGGGCGUAAAGCGCGUGUAGGCGGUCCGGUAAGUCCGCUGUGAAAGUCGAGGGCUCAACCCUCGAAUGCCGGUGGAUACUGUCGGGCUUGAGUACGGGAGAGGCGAGUGGAAUUCCUGGUGUAGCGGUGAAAUGCGCAGAUAUCAGGAAGAACACCAAUGGCGAAGGCAGCUCUCUGGGACGGUACUGACGCUGAGACGCGAAAGCGUGGGGAGCGAACAGG